UACGUAGGUGGCAAGCGUUGUCCGGAUUUAUUGGGGUUAAAGGGUGCGUAGGCGGUUUUUUAAGUCAGUGGUGAAAUACUUCAGCUUAACUGGAGAGGUGCCAUUGAUACUGGGAAACUUGAGUACUGAUGAGGUAGGCGGAAUGGACGGUGUAGCGGUGAAAUGCUUAGAUAUCGUCCAGAACACCGAUAGCGAAGGCAGCUUACUAAGGAGUAACUGACGCUGAGGCACGAAAGUGUGGGGAUCAAACAGG
rnacentral:rRNA from 1 species